rnacentral:rRNA from 1 species
GACGAACGCUGGCGGCAGGCUUAACACAUGCAAGUCGAACGCGCCGCAAGGAGAGUGGCAGACGGGUGAGUAACACGUGGGAACGUACCCUUUACUACGGAACAACUCCGGGAAACUGGAGCUAAUACCGUAUGUGCCCUUUGGGGGAAAGCUUUAUCGGUGAAGGAUGGGCCCGCGUUGGAUUAGGUAGUUGGUGGGGUAAAGGCCUACCAAGGCGACGAUCCAUAGCUGGUCUGAGAGGAUGAUCAGCCACAUUGGGACUGGGACACGGCCUAAACUCCUACGGGAGGCAGCAGUGGGGAAUAUUGGACAAUGGGCGCAAGCCUGAUCCAGCCAUGCCGCGUGUGUGAUGAAGGCCUUAGGGUUGUAAAGCACUUUCACCGGAGAAGAUAAUGACGGUAUCCGGAGAAGAAGCCCCGGCUAACUUCGUGCCAGCCGCCGCGGUAA